CACUCCCCGGCAAAGCUUGUCUGCAUAGUGAGACCACCACAGCCACUCACACACGAAGAGGCUCAUUAUGAGAAGGAAGAAGAAGAAGAAGAGAAAAGCUGCAAAUGGAGAAGAAAACAUUUAUUCCGCAGUAGAAACACAGUUGGAGUCAUGAUGUGAGAUGGCAGGAAUGGAAUCUUGGAUUCACCACACCCAAGUUAAACUUUGGGCACCCUCUGAGGAACCUGCAGGGCCGUCAGCUCAGGAGUCCCAAGAUCAGCCAGACCAGCC